UACGUAGGGUGCAAGCGUUGCCCGGAUUUAUUGGGCGUAAAGGGCGCGUAGGCGGCUCGGCACGUCCGUUGUGAAAUCGCCCGGCUCAACUGGGCGGGGUCAGCGGAUACGGUCGAGCUUGAGCAAGCUAGGGGGCAAUGGAAUUCCCGGUGUAGUGGUGGAAUGCGUAGAGUAUCGGGAGGAACACCAGUGGCGAAGGCGGUUGCCUGGGGCUUUGCUGACGCUGAUGCGCGAAAGCGUGGGGAGCGAUCCGG
rnacentral:rRNA from 1 species